UCUCAUUUUGUCUGUCAUAGUUGAAGUGUACCUAUAAUGAAAAUUACAGGCCUCUCGUCUUUUUAAGUGGGAGAACUUGCACAAUUGGUGGCUGACUAAAUACUUUUUUGCCCCACUGUAUAUAUGACAUUGAUUUUAGCGUUGCCAAAUUGGCUUAGUCUCGUAGUGAGGAGCCUAUAAAACCUAGCUAGCUUCAUAAACAUUUUUGGGAAUUCUGAAAUGUAUUGCAAUAAAUGACCAAACUAUAAAACUAGCUAGCCAGCUACGGAGAACUGUAGCUAGCCAGCUACGGAGAACUGUAGCAAGCCAGCUACGGAGAACUGUAGCUAGCCAGCUACGGAGAACUGUAGCUUGUCAGCUACGGAGAACUGUAGCUUGUCAGCUACGGAGAACUGUAGCUUGUCAGCUACGGAGAACUGUAGCUAGCCAGCUACGGAGAACUGUAGCUUGUCAGCUACGGAGAACUGUAGCUAGCCAGCUACGGAGAACUGUAGCUUGCCAGCAAUGGAGAACUGUAGCUAGCCAGCUAUGGAUAACUGUUGCUAGCCAGCUAUGGAUAACUGUAGCUUGCCAGCUAUGGAGAACUGUUGCUAGCCAGCUAUGGAGAACUGUAGCUAGCCAGCUAUGGAGAACUGUAGCUAGCCACUAUGGAGAACUGUUGCUAGCCACUAUGGAGAACUGUUGCUAGCCAGCUAUGGAGAACUGUAGCUAGCCAGCUAUGGAGAACUGUUGCUAGCUAGCUACGUUAGCUUGCUAGAUACAUGAAUAGCUGUGGGUUGGUUGUUUUUAAGCUCAACUCCAAUAUUUCCACUAAGGACGUUGCCUCCGAUCAUCACACUCUAAUUAGAAUUUGGACUGCAGCCAUGGUUUUAGGUGCUGAUGUGUUUCCUUAAUGAUGGAUCUUUUGCAACUCCCUAAACGCAAUUAGGACCAUGAAAAUGAUAUCUGAGAGACUACAGUUAUUACUACAUGAGGACAGAAUGUGUCCUUGUGAAUCAUAAUCACAGUUCCAUAAAUCAGAUUUUUUUGCACAAAUUGUGGUUGUAGAUUGGAAGGUUGGUAAGCACCUCUUAUAGCCCAUCACUUGUUUAUAGAAUAUUGGAUUUCUGAUUGACCGAAUGAUAUACUCUCUUACUCCACUUAAGAAAAGGUAAAUGCUACUAUGCAAACUUAAUCGAAACACUGUUGGCUUAGGAAUAUUUGGGAUUCAGGUGGUUGGAGGCAAGGAGGUGAGAGGUGACGAGGAGAGGAUGGUUAGAAGGACAGGUGAAUAAGGAUAGUUAUAUUCCUGGAAUGAUAUUCCUGGAAUCUCCUCAGAGAUGAUGCUUCCAGUGAAUAACAGCAGACAGACAGUUCAAUAGACAGAGGCAUUACAGUUAGAAGUGAGGAAUAAUCAUUAGACUACUGAAUGACCUCUAGAGCUGAAUAACUGCAGAUAGACAGUUCAAUAGACCGAAGCAUUAUGGAUAGAAGUGAGGAAUAAUCAUUAGACUCCUGAAUGACCUCUAGAGCUGAAUAACAUGUAAGAGGACGUGGCAGGGACCUCUACUGAAGUCUAAAGAGGUUUAGAAUCUAUUCCAUGUCAAUCCAUCAACAUGACACAAUCUGUUUAUGAAGACGGAUGCAAGGUGUUUUGGGUGAAGAUCGAUUAUGACUGAAACGAAUGAACCACAACUGGGUUUUAUUCUGUGUGGAGAAAUGUGAAGCGGGUUAUCCGGUAAACAGUAAAUCACAUUUCAAUGGCCUAACCGGUAGGGGAUAGAAUACCAAACAGACCUUAGAUCAGCUUCUAGGGACAACUUAAUCCUUUAAAUGGCUCAGUGAGAGACUCUAAAGACACCCUGAGAGAAGAGUCCACUCACAGACAGACAGAGACAGACAGAAAUGCUGUUUAUUUAUUCACAUGUUCACUUGACAACGCUGCAUUUAUUUAUUACCUUUAUUUAUUAAUUGGCAGCUGUGUUUCUCGCUCUUUGAACUUACAAUUGGUUGACCGAUUGGUUGACUGAUGCUCUUGGGAAAGUUGCUGUACAGCGGUUUGUUUGUGGUUUUUACUGUUAUGAUGGGACAAAAUUUUUUGGGGGGAUGAUUGGAUUUUUGGACUAUUGUGCCUUUACCAAAUAGGAUGUGUACAAAACAACAAAGCAUUUUAUUCUUUCAAAGCAUUUUCUACUGCAUUUUGAUAAUUUGCUUGUCUUUCUUAAUAGCACAGUGCACAAUCAGUCGGAUAACACAGUA